rnacentral:rRNA from 1 species
CCACGCCGUAAACGAUGUCGACUUGGAGGUUGUGCCCUUGAGGCGUGGCUUCCGGGGCUAACGCGUUAAGUCGACCGCCUGGGGAGUACGGCCGCAAGGUUAAAACUCAAAUGAAUUGACGGGGGCCCGCACAAGCGGUGGAGCAUGUGGUUUAAUUCGAUGCAACGCGAAGAACCUUACCUGGUCUUGACAUCCACAGAACUUUCCAGAGAUGGAUUGGUGCCUUCGGGAACUGUGAGACAGGUGCUGCAUGGCUGUCGUCAGCUCGUGUUGUGAAAUGUUGGGUUAAGUCCCGCAACGAGCGCAACCCUUAUCCUUUGUUGCCAGCGGUCCGGCCGGGAACUCAAAGGAGACUGCCAGUGAUAAACUGGAGGAAGGUGAGGAUGACGUCAAGUCAUCAUGGCCCUUACGACCAGGGCUACACACGUGCUACAAUGGCGCAUACAAAGAGAAGCGACCUCGCGAGAGCAAGCGGACCUCAUAAAGUGCGUCGUAGUCCGGAUUGGAGUCUGCAACUCGACUCCAUGAAGUCGGAAUCGCUAGUAAUCGUGGAUCAGAAUGCCACGGUGAAUACGUUCCCGGGCCUUGUACACACCGCCCGUCACACCAUGGGAGUGGGUUGCAAAAGAAGUAGGUAGCUUAACCUUCGGGAGGGCGCUUACCACUUUGUGAUUCAUGACUGGG